rnacentral:misc_RNA from 1 species
UAAUUGAGAAUUGGCCACGAGACUUGCCUCGGCAACAAGGGUAGAAGAUCCUGCGGGUGAAAUGGCACUUGCACGGCUUGUGCGGCAAAAAAGUAGAGAAAAAAGGAAACACUGAGAAUCGUUAGCGAGGAAGAUGGAGCCAUGAUUUUGGGAGGGAAAGAAGGAUAAAUGAAUGUCUUCUACAGAGAAAAUAGAGUGAGAGAUGGCGAGUAAAAAGUUAAAAUUCCAUCGUCUCUAGUUGGCUGUCCCUUUCUUGCUCUUGAUUCUGC